AUCGUCAUUAUUGGGAUGCCAAAGCCAUCCAACAGUUAAACCUUCAACAGUUCAUGAGUCAACAGCAGGUGAAAAUAAUUUAAAAGGAAGCAAGAUGUUGGCAACUUUCUCCUUUGUGGUAAUUGGGACUUUAACCACCCAGGUAUUGCGAUAGAAAAAAAGUCUGCGCAUGAAACAAUUUUGUUCAAACCCUUGAGGGAGGGUUCAUAUUCAUAAAUGUUAUGCUGUUAGAUAUAGUUGUUGUAGAUAUAGUGGAUUUGCCCUAAAGGUGUAGGUGACUUGUUAAUUUCAUAAUUGAGUAGAGUUGGAUGAAAUGACUUUUUAUUUUAUUUAUUCAAGUUGCAUUCUCAGAAUAACAUUACUUGAGAGACAAUUGUUAUUUAGCUUUAAGGUUAGUUCUUUAUUUAAAAAAAAAAA